rnacentral:snoRNA from 1 species
CUGUCUGAUGAUGAUCAAACUAAAUACUUUUGUUCUUCUGAUGUGGUAUCUCAUAUUCUCAUGGCGCUGUGCGGAAGGAAUCUGGAGACCUGAAUUGAGGAGAC